CAUCUCAGGUAAUACUGCAGUACUACUUCAGUACUACAGUAAUACUCACUUCGUCUCAGGUAGUACUUCAUCUCAGGUAAUACUGCAGUACUACUGUAGUACUUCAUCUCAAGUAAUGCUGCAGUACUACUGUAGUACUACUGUAAUACUCACUUCAUCUCAGGUAAUACUGCAGUACUACUGUAGUCCUUCAUCUCAAGUAAUACUGCAGUACUUUAGUACUACAGUAGUACCCACUUCAUCUCAGGUAAUACUGCAGUACUACUGUAGUGCUCACUUCAUCUCAGGUAAUACUGCAGUACUACUGCAGCACUACUGUAGUACUCACUUCAUCUCAGGUAAUACCGCGGUACUACUGUAGUACUCACUUCAUCUCAGGUAAUACUGCUGUACUACUGCAGUACUACUGUAGUACUCACUUCAUCUCAGGUAAUACCGCGGUACUACUGUAGUACUCACUUCAUCUCAGGUAAUACUGCAGUACUACUGUAGUACUUCAUCUCAGAUAAUACUGUAGUACUACUGUAGUACUCACUUCAUCUCAGGUAAUACUGUAGUACUACUAUAGUACUCACUUCAUCUCUGGUAAUACUGCAGUACUACUGUAUUACUAACUUUAUUUCAGGUAAUACUGCAGUACUACUGUGGUACUACUGUAGUACUCACUUCAUCUCUGGUAAUACUGCAGUAAUACUGUAGUACUCAUUUCAUCUCAGGUAAUACUGUAGUAGUACAGUAGUACUCACUUCAUCUCAGGUCUUACUGCAGUAUUACUGUAGUACUUCAUCUCAGGUAAUACUGCAGUACUAUUGUAGUACUACUGUAGUACUCACUUCAUCUCAGGUAAUACCGCGGUACUACUGUAGUACUCACUUCAUCUCAGGUAAUACUGCAGUACUACUGUAGUACUC
ensembl:lncRNA